rnacentral:tRNA from 1 species
UGUGAGGUAGAGCAGUGGUAGCUCGUUAGGCUCAUACCCUAAAGGUCGCGGGUUCAAAUCCCGCCCUCGCAACAA